CCUACGGGUGGCAGCAGUGAGGAAUAUUGGUCAAUGGACGAGAGUCUGAACCAGCCAAGUAGCGUGAAGGAUGACUGCCCUAUGGGUUGUAAACCUCUUUUAUAAAGGAAUAAAACGAGUCACGUGUGCCUUUUUGCAUGUACUUUAUGAAUAAGGAUCGGCUAACUCCGUGCCAGCAGCCGCGGUAAUACGGAGGAUCCGAGCGUUAUCCGGAUUGAUUGGGUUUAAAGGGAGCGUCGGCGGGUUGUUAAGUUCGUUGUGAAAGUUUGGGGCUCAACCCUAAAAUUGCAAUUGAAACUGGCAGUCUUGAGUACAGUUGAGGUAGGCGGAAUUCGUGGUGUAGCGGUGAAAUGCUUAGAUAUCACGAAGAACCCCGAUUGCGAAGGCAGCUUACUAAGCUGUGACUGACAUUGAUGCUCGAAAGUGUGGGUAUCAAACAGGAUUAGAUACCCCUGUAGUC
rnacentral:rRNA from 1 species